rnacentral:ncRNA from 1 species
AGAGAGUUUAAUUUUUACUCGAAAAUUAAUUUUAAUUUCAUUUUAUAUGCAAAAAUUUGUAUGAGAAUUAUUUUAACUUAAAAAGUUAUCUAAAAAAGUUAUUUGCAGUGGAGAAAUCUAAUUAUCAGUGAAAGCUGGAUUUGGGGAAAAUUAUUUUAUAUUAACAAAAUUUGUGCCAGCAGUUGCGGUUAGACAAAUAAUGUGAAUUAAUUUUUUUGGUUUCAGUAAAUUAUUAUUUUAAUUUUUAAGUUGAAUUUAUUAGGUGAAAUUUUUAAAUUUAAUUAUAAAUUAAUUUUUGAAACUGGGAAAUUUUUGUUUAAACUAGGAUUAGAUACCCUAUUAUUUUAAAUGUAAAUUUUUAACCUGAUUAAUAAUAGUUAUGUUCUUUAAAAUUAAAGAUUUUGGCGGUAUUUUAGCCUAUUCAGAGGAACCUGUCCUGUAAUCGAUAGUCCACGAUUUGCUUAACUUUUUCUUAGUUUAUAUAUCGUUGUAGUUUGAAUAUAUUAGUAGAUAGUUAAAUUUUCAAAAAUUUUUUAAAAAAGAAAAUCAGAUCAAGGUGUAGCUUAUGAAGAAGAAGAGAUGGGUUAUAAUAAGUUUAUUAAAUUAUUAAUUUUCUUAAAGAAAUUGAUAUUUAAGAUUUGAAAGUAAAUUUAGUUUAAAAACUGUUUUGAUUUAAGCUCUAAAAUAUGUACAUAUCGCCCGUCACUUUCAUUUCAAGGUGGAAUAAGUCGUAACAAAGUAGAUUUACUGGAAGGUGAAUCUAGAUUAAU